rnacentral:rRNA from 1 species
UAGGGAAUCUUCGGCAAUGGACGAAAGUCUGACCGAGCAACGCCGCGUGAGUGAAGAAGGUUCUCGGAUCGUAAAACUCUGUUGUUAGAGAAGAACAAGGACGUUAGUAACUGAACGUCCCCUGACGGUAUCUAACCAGAAAGCCACGGCUAACUACGUGCCAGCAGCCGCGGUAAUACGUAGGUGGCAAGCGUUGUCCGGAUUUAUUGGGCGUAAAGCGAGCGCAGGCGGUUUCUUAAGUCUGAUGUGAAAGCCCCCGGCUCAACCGGGGAGGGUCAUUGGAAACUGGGAGACUUGAGUGCAGAAGAGGGGAGUGGAAUUCCAUGUGUAGCGGUGAAAUGCGUAGAUAUAUGGAGGAACACCAGUGGCGAAGGCGGCUCUCUGGUCUGUAACUGACGCUGGGGCUCGAAAGCGUGGGAAGCAAACAGG